AUUGAACGCUGGCGGCAGGCCUAACACAUGCAAGUCGAGCGAGCGGCGGACGGGUGAGUAAUGUCUGGGAAACUGCCUGAUGGAGGGGGAUAACUACUGGAAACGGUAGCUAAUACCGCAUACCCUCAGAUGUGCCCCGCUGGGAUUAGCUAGUAGGUGGGGUAACGGCUCACCUAGGCGCCGAUCCCUAGCUGGUCUGAGAGGAUGACCAGCCAAACUGGAACGGAGACACGGUCCGAACGCCUACGGGAGGAAGCAGAGGGGAAAAUAGCACAAUGGGCGAAAUCCUGAUGCAGCCAUGCCGCGGGUGUGAAGAAGGCCUUCGGGUUGUAAAGCACUUUCAGCGGGGAGGCGUUACCCGCAGAAGAAGCACCGGCUAACUCCGUGCCAGCAGCCGCGGUAAUAC
rnacentral:rRNA from 1 species